rnacentral:rRNA from 1 species
UACGGAGGGUGCAAGCGUUAUCCGGAUUUACUGGGUUUAAAGGGUGCGUAGGUGGGUUGGUAAGUCCGUGGUGGAAUCUCCGAGCUUAACUCGGAAACUGCCGUGGAUACUAUCAAUCUUGAAUACUGUGGAGGUAAGCGGAAUAUGUCAUGUAGCGGUGAAAUGCUUAGAUAUGACAUAGAACACCAAUUGCGAAGGCAGCUCGCUAAACAAGUAUUGACGCUGAGGCACGAAAGCGUGGGGAUCAAACAGG